rnacentral:rRNA from 1 species
GCGCGAUACAGGGUGACAGCCCCGUACACAAAAGCGCAUGUGCUGUGAGCUCGAUGAGUAGGGCGGGACACGUGGUAUCCUGUCUGAAUAUGGGGGGACCAUCCUCCAAGGCUAAAUACUCCUGACUGACCGAUAGUGAACCAGUACCGUGAGGGAAAGGCGAAAAGAACCCCGGCGAGGGGAGUGAAAAAGAACCUGAAACCGUGUACGUACAAGCAGUGGGAGCACAGGUUUACCUGUGUGAC